rnacentral:lncRNA from 1 species
UUAGUGUUAGAUUAAUUUACCAUUUUGCAUAUUUUCUCCUAACAAAGGCAUGAUUUUUUAACAGUAGAGGAAUGCUCUCUUUUAUGUAAAGUUUGUCAUUCAAUGCCGGGGAUUAUGUAACAUUGGACUAUCUAGACCUUAAAUCGAAAUUUAUGUUUCACAGGCUGGGCUGCAAUUAAUGUGCUCAAAUGUGUGUCUUAGUAAGUGUAAGGAUACAAAAAUAGUUAUCGUUCAGAUUAAUUUGCUUUCUGUUGUAAUUUUGGGGAUUUAGAAUGUUUGAUUUAGACUUGGAUAAGUUCAAACUGAAGCAGCCUUUUGAAAGUUGCACUUGGGGCUGCUCUUUUUACUUGAGGGUCCAAAUUCAGGCCCAAGUGCUUUUUUAA